rnacentral:rRNA from 1 species
CAAAGGUUUGGUCCUGACUUUUCUGCCAGCUUUAGCUAAACUUACACAUGCAAGUAUCCGCGCCCCCGUGAGAAUGCCCUAUCGGUUCCGCCCGGAAACAAGGAGCUGGUAUCAGGCACACUAAACAAGCCCACGACGCCUUGCUCAGCCACACCCUCAAGGGUACUCAGCAGUGACAUACAUUGAUACAUAAGUGAAAGCUUGACUCAGUUAAAGCUAAGAGGGCCGGUAAAACUCGUGCCAGCCACCGCGGUUAUACGGGUGGCCCAAGUUGUCAGAAGUCGGCGUAAAGGGUGGUUAAGAGCAAACUUAAGAUUAAAGCCGAACACCUUCCAGACCGUUAUACGUAUCCGAAGGCAAGAAGCUCAAUUACGAAAGUAGCUUUAUAUUUUCUGAAU